CUGGCAGCCCUUGAGACUGAAGUCUUCUGUUUACCUGCAGAACAGAUACAGCACAGGCAGUGGCAGUGCAAGAUUUUUUACAUUCACACAUCCCUGCCAUUUUGCCUCACCCCUGACCUGAAGGGGCAACCUUAUAGGUGAGAGGAUAGCCCAGUCUCUGUGUCCUUUUGAGCAUUUGGCCUAC